rnacentral:rRNA from 1 species
UACAGAGACUGCAAGCGUUAUUCGGAUUCACUGGGCGUAAAGGGUGCGCAGGCGGCCGGGUGUGUCAGAUGUGAAAUCCCGAGGCUUAACCUCGGAACUGCGUCUGAAACUACUCGGCUAGAGUAUUGGAGAGGGUAACGGAAUUCACGGUGUAGCAGUGAAAUGCGUAGAUAUCGUGAGGAACACCAGAGGCGAAGGCGGCGACCUGGUCCUUUACUGACGCUGAGGCGCGAAAGCGUGGGGAGCAAACAGGAUUAGAAACCCGGGUAGU